rnacentral:tRNA from 1 species
AGAAAGUUAGUCUAACCAAGACAGCUGAUUUCGACUCAGCAGAUCAUAGCCUUCUACCUAUGACUUUCUC